GACGAACGCUGGCGGCGUGCCUAAUACAUGCAAGUCGAAUGCACUCUCGUUUAGAUUGAAGGAGUUUGCUCCUGAUUGAUAAACAUUUGAGUGAGUGGCGGACGGGUGAGUAACACGUGGGUAACCUGCCCUAAAGUGGGGGAUAACAUUUGGAAACAGAUGCUAAUACCGCAUAAAACCUAACACCGCAUGGUGUAGGGUUGAAAGAUGGUUUCGGCUAUCACUUUAGGAUGGACCCGCGGUGCAUUAGUUAGUUGGUGAGGUAAAGGCUCACCAAGACCGUGAUGCAUAGCCGGCCUGAGAGGGUAAUCGGCCACACUGGGACUGAGACACGGCCCAGACUCCUACGGGAGGCAGCAGUAGGGAAUCUUCCACAAUGGACGAAAGUCUGAUGGAGCAACGCCGCGUGAGUGAAGAAGGUUUUCGGAUCGUAAAACUCUGUUGUUGGAGAAGAAUGUAUCUGAUAGUAACUGAUCAGGUAGUGACGGUAUCCAACCAGAAAGCCACGGCUAACUACGUG
rnacentral:rRNA from 1 species